GUGGGGCCAGCGUUUGGCCGUUCAGACCGGAGGUCGGGUCACAUCCCACAGGUAUGUCCACUUCCCAGGCCGCAAGCUGCUCAGAGGCCGCCCAGGUGUCCCUCCAGUUCUUGAGAACCAGCUGAGGACAGGACACGGGCCCUCAGUGUUGUCCUGGCUGUUGGCCUCGCAGUGGCGACGGCAGGGUGUCGAGGCCGGAUGCGGACAGAGCGGGCACUGCGUCUGGAAGCAGGACUCCCCCUGGACCCAGUGUUUGUCCCAGGCCUCCAGCCGAUGGACGAGGCCCCGCACACCCUGUCGAGGGGACCUCGCUGCCUUGGCCCGGCCCCCUGACUGCACCUGCAGACUGCAUCGACAACCCCCCUGGGGCCGCAGGUGACCGGGUUUGAUGACGCGACAGAGCACGAUGGCUACGCCGGUCCACGCAGAGGAGUGCCCUCGCUGACCUGCCCCGGCCGGCCAGCAGCGGGCAUUGGUGACCGCCGGCACAGGGGCGCCUGCUGGGAGCUGCCCUGUCCUGCAGAGGAGUCCAGGCUUCACGUGGAGACUCCCCUGCCUUGGCGAGUCCAGCCCCUGCACUCCAGCAGGAGCUGCUCCAGACUGCCCAACAGGGCGCCAGGCCCGGUUUCCAGCAGUGUCGCCCACCAGCAGAUGAAGUCCUGUCAUCUGGGCUUUGCUGAGGACUGCGAAUUUAAUGUAUUUUAAGGAUGGACUACUCAUUGCUUCUCGCAAGGUGUAUGAAGACACCAUCCACUUGGAGUUAGAGUAACCUGGCCUCCAGUCCACAUUCCUAGACACUGACCUUGCUCAGGAUACUGCACUCAGGUUCUCCUAACUUUAGCCAAGAUUCAACCUGCUGGACGUGCCCUUCAUUACUGCAUUCACUACCUGUGUCCUGAGCUGCAGUGCGGUUCUAUAAGUAUGCGGCCAAUAUUCGAAUUAAUGAGGGCAUUCACACUGACCUCGUGAGGCACUGGAAAUGGUAUCCAGUGUUUUCCCCAGUUUAGAAGCAUUGCAGAGAUCACCUGCCCAGGUGUUGUGCUCUGUCCACCCCACACACCUGCAGUCACCAGUGGUCAUCCAGGUAUAAUUCUGCUUUCUGCAUUGUAUUUCCUGUAUGCUUAUUUUAGCUUAACUUCACAACAUUGUCCCCACUACAGGAUACCUCAACACCCAUCAUGAAGAGACUACAAAAAUGUAGACCCUUUGGAUGUAAAAGCUAUAAAUUAUGUGCUAUUCAGUAUGUGAGAACCAAGAGUCGGGAGCUGCGCUUGUCCCCUGGUGGGGCGGCAUAGGGGUCAUCCGCCCUGUGCAUGUGUUCAGAUGCAUGUGUGCACACAAAACUGGGUCAAAUUUAGUAAAAGGAACA